rnacentral:rRNA from 1 species
UACGAAGGGGGCUAGCGUUGCUCGGAAUCACUGGGCGUAAAGGGUGCGUAGGCGGAUCUUUAAGUCAGGGGUGAAAUCCUGGAGCUCAACUCCAGAACUGCCUUUGAUACUGAGGAUCUCGAGUUCGGGAGAGGUGAGUGGAACUGCGAGUGUAGAGGUGAAAUUCGUAGAUAUUCGCAAGAACACCAGUGGCGAAGGCGGCUUACUGGUCCGGUUCUGACGCUGAGGCGCGAAAGCGUGGGGAGCAAACAGG